AGCGAACGCUGGCGGCAGGCCUAACACAUGCAAGUCGAACGAACCUUUCGGGGUUAGUGGCGACGGGCGAGUAACACGUGGGAACGUGCCUUUAGGUUCGGAAUUACUCAGGGGAAUUUGUGCUAAUACCGAAUGCGGCCCUCGGGGGAAAGAAUUUUCGCCUUUAGAGGGGUCCGCGGCUGAUUAGCUAGUUGGUUGCGGUAAUGGCUCACCAAGGCGACGAUCAGUAGCUGGUUUGAGAGGAUGAUCAGCCACAUUGGGACUGAGACACGGCCCAAACUCCUACGGGAGGCAGCAGUGGGGAAUCUUGCGCAAUGGGCGAAGGCCUGACGCAGCCAUGCCGCGUGAAUGAUGAAGGUCUUAGGAUUGUAAAAUUCUUUCACCGGGGACGAUAAUGACGGUACCCGGAGAAGAAGCCCCGGCUAACUUCGUG
rnacentral:rRNA from 1 species